GAGAGCAGCCCGCCGGGGAGGAGAGAGGUGGGCAGAGCACUCUGCAUUGAUAAGAAAUCAACCCCGUCACGUGAGAUAUGUCGCUUCCAUGUUGCUGCAUGUGGAAGCCGAUGGCAGGAGACUCACCGACGUCUUUGGUCGUCUCCCAAAACUUGAUGGUGACUCUGCCCGGGACCAACAGAGGCUCCUUGAACUGAGCCGACACGCUGACGGGAGCCGUGAUGACUCCGACCCCUGCAGACAGAACAGAGCGAGGAGAAGCCACAAGAGGCAGAAGUGCACCGCUACCCCGUGUUCUACUCGGGUUAAACCUUCUUCUUCCAGGGCUUCCGUAGCUCGCCAUAGCAAGAAAACAGAAACAAGAACAUGUCUGCUCUGAAAGCCAGGCAGACAGACAGCAUCCAGAGACUCGGUGCGCCUUGAGAUCUGUUGCCAAAGAGCCGGGCGGCGAGAGAGAGGAGCCGGUAGGGCGAGCAGUCGGAGAAGAACCAAACACACUGCAGGCCGGUGGUCCUGGGAACUCUGAGCUCUACCUGCUUCACAUCAUCUGGUUGGCCUGAAGAGCAGACACAGAGGAGACCAACAGGAAGACAGGAAGUGCUGUUUGCUGUGUGCAAAGGCUGAAAAAGCAGAAAUCUCCAGAUUGUUGCUCACGUCCGU